AGAGCGAACGCUGGCGGCGUGCUUAACACAUGCAAGUCGAACGCGCAGCAUUCUGUAGCAAUACAGGGUGUGGGCGCGUGGCGAACGGGUGCGUAACACGUGGAUAACCUUCCUUCAGGUGGGGAAUAACCCAGUGAAAAUUGGGCUAAUACCGCAUAACAAAACGAUGAGACAUCUUGUUGUUUUCAAAGGCGCAAGUCGCCAGAAGAGGGAUCCGCGGCCGAUUAGCUUGUUGGCGAGGUAAUGGCUCACCAAGGCAAUGAUCGGUAGCCGGACUGAGAGGUUGGCCGGCCACACUGGAACUGAGACACGGUCCAGACUCCUACGGGAGGCAGCAGUGGGGAAUCUUGCACAAUGGGCGAAAGCCUGAUGCAGCAACGCCGCGUGGGGGAUGAAGCUUCUCGGAGUGUAAACCCCUUUCGACCCGGAAGAAAGCCCGCAAGGGUUGACGGUACGGGUAUAAGAAGCCCGGCUAACUACGUGCCAGCAGCCGCGGUAAU
rnacentral:rRNA from 1 species